UACGUAGGAUGCAAGCGUUGUUCGGAAUUACUGGGCGUAAAGAGUACGUAGGCGGUUUGGUAAGUCUGCUAUUAAAGACUGGAGCUUAACUCCAGGACUGUAGUGGAAACUGUCAGACUAGAGGACAAUAGAGGAAGUCGGAAUUCUCAGUGUAGCGGUGAAAUGCGUAGAUAUUGGGAAGAACACCAGUGGCGAAAGCGGACUUCUGGGUUGUUACUGACGCUGAGGUACGAAAGCGUGGGGAGCAAACGGG
rnacentral:rRNA from 1 species